UAAGUAUCUUGAUUCAGCUGACCACACGGUAAUCAUCCAUCUGCCCUUUUCAUGCUCCAUCCAUAAUCUAAGAUUUAAGUCAGGCUGUGAUUAACCCUGACACAUGGGCUCUUCUCCAGAAAACCCUUCCAGGCUACCGACUACAAAGCUGUCUCACUUGAUUAAAGACUGGCUACCAGGAUCGGAAUUUGGCCCUGAGCUACCCUAAAAGACAAAAUGAUGAGAGAAGAUUAUCUUGGGGGAAGUUAAAUAGAAACCGGAAACGCCAGUGGUUAUGUCAUGGCUGCUGUCUGAAGAGAGGAAGCAAGAUCAGCUCCUGAGGAAAUGCACUCUUUUCCUCCUGGUCAGCUCUGGAUGAAAUGUAUCAAACCCUACAAGUCAAGACUGAGCAAAAGCAGAUGGGGUCUUCAGAGAUGGGUGUUUUAGGUAUCCCAGGCUAGCCUUGAACUUGAUAUACAGCAGCAGUACUCCUGACCCUCCUGGCAAUGGGAUUCCAGAUGUGAACCACGAUUCCUGAUUUAAGGAGUACUGUGGAUUGAACCCAGGACUUUGUGCAAAGAAACUUUUUCGAGACAGUUUUUCUGUACCUUUGGAGUGUGCCCUGGAACUCACUCAGUAGACCAAGAUGACCUCGAGCUCACCGUGUUCCACCUGCCUCUGCCUCCCAAGUGCUGGGAUUAAAAGCUGUGCACCACCACUGUCCAACUUGUUUUACUUC